CUGCUGCCAUAGCCAGUUUUAAAUGAAGAAUGUUUCUAUUCGACUAGCCACAAAGCAAGCAGAUAUGGAGGCUGAGAUGGAGAAAGAAGUGAUUUGUUUAACCCCAGCUAACAGACUAGUAGCAGAACUAGAAGCAGCUGGAACUCCCGAUUCCAGGUACUGCUGGGAGGAAAAUGAAGGAUCUACUACUUGCGCUUGAUAUAGUCUUCAGUCUGCCAUUGUACUUCAAGCUAUACAGAAAUUUCAGACUACGUGAACUUGAGAGCAAAACCUGACUGGUGCUGUGGAAUAUCUGUUAUCAGCUGAGAAAUGUCUUUGUGGGACUUUAAAGGAGGGAGAAUCACGUGGGGAAAACCCAGGCUCAGGAAGU